UAGAAUCAGUGUAACAACCAUUCCUUUAGUGACAGCAAUGGGAAGAUAUUACUGAUAAGAAAACUCAGAGAAACAUGAUAAAGGCCAGUGAUGAAGAUUGCUUUGGGAAGACUUAAAACAUUGUGAUAAAGAUCCUCAGUAAAAAUGUAUACAUCCAACAUUGUAAUAAUGGAGGAAGGAAGAAGAGUUUAUCCAGAGAGAAAUACAAUUCCAUUGGUGGGACAGAGAGGUGAAACUGGAUCUUUGAAGGCCUCUGUUGUCACCUCUAUCAUUAUUCUGCUCCAAUGACAACACAGAGUGUACUGUCAACGUCCUCCAGGGAAGAAAAUGAACAGUGCAUUUAACAGAAGAAGCAUAUUUAGUCUAAGAAGGCCUGAGGAUAAUUGUCAUUACUACAAAAACAGCAUCUACAAGUGCAGAAAAUUCUUCAUAUUUCUGUUCAUCGAGGGAGAUGUUUGAACUACAGCUAAUAAGGAAACAGGAAAACAAUUCCUCUCUUCAUGAAGAGAUGAUCAGCAUACCAGCAUCAAGACAGCGAGAUUCCCUGAUUUAAGAUCUCAGUUGCAUCCUUGCUCACAAAAGCAGAACAUAUCCAACCAAAAGUCAUUUUGCAUCUUUUUUUAUACGUAAUUCAAGUUUUCAUUGUGUAUUUUCUUCUAAAGAAGCAAAACAAAAUAAUCAAGCAAAAAAACAACAACAAAGAAACCUCUAAAAACUUCGUAACAUACCAGUUAUGAGCAGCCACGCUUUAACAUUGCUGCUGCCACCUCGUGGCUUCCCUUUGGAAAGCUAUCUACUGGUUUGAGCGGAAUAAACUGCAGGAGGCUUUUCAAACCGCUAAGCAGUCAAGAAGAUUCUCCUCCUGCGUUAUUCCUCCUUUCACCAGAAACAAGUUUUAGCAAACAGAAGAAAAAUAAAUUCCAUUCAAAAGAAUUCUAAAUCCUUCAUCAACCAAGAACAGAGAAGCUGAUACAUUUUAAGGAAUGCAUUGGGGAACUACACUUACUACUAUCUAAAUUACAUAUACAAACUUCCCAAACCCUCCCUUUUUGUGAUUUAAGAUUUUCUAUUGGUAUUUCAGGUAGUAGAUGUACUGGCUGCCACAGAGUAAAAGAUUGGGAGGAAAAAAGAGAUGGAUGAAAAGGGAGAUGAGAAGUCAGAGAUAAGCUGUGACUAGCAAUUAGUUUGUCUCCAAUUCGUUGCUUACUAAGUCCUAAAAGUGAUGAUUAUGGUUAUUGUUUUUGUUGUGGGCUUUUCCCUCUGCUUUUCUGUUUAUUUUUUCUGUAUCGUACAGAAAAGAAUUCAAGAGAUGAAUGCCAGUCAUUCAUCAAGUAGGGGAAAUGAGCCAAUAUCCUUUCAAAUGAUUAGACAAAAUAAGAACAUCCCUUCUGUUCUUCUCAGGUAAUUUGAUGUGAGCAUUACUCUAUUAACUAAUUUUCUGAAGGAAUAAGUGACCACUAACUUAAAAUAGGGUAGAUGUUUGGACACAGAAGGGAAGAACAGAAGUGCUGUAGGCAAUAGAAAAGCAAAGGACCUGGUGCAUGUUAUAUACUAAGGCAAAAUGAUUGAAAAGUUUACCAGAAUUGCUAAAAGCAUUUUGGCCACUUUCAGCCUCAUAUUGCAAAAUUUGAAAAUAACUGUCAGCUAUUCAUGUUGCAAAUAUCCCAAAAUAUCACACUACACAUGGAAUUUGUAUUGCAAAUUUUGUCACGGACAAUAUGGUGUUAAAAGCCUAUACUAGGAAGAGACAGACAUCAUACAUUUAAAAAAUUAAUGCAAAGGUAGGAUAUAAUAAUAAUAGAGUGGAAAUUCAAUCGGUGCUUGAUGUUAUACAAUCAAGAUACAAUAGUGAGAAUAGAAAUCACUCCAAGUUUUUAAACAGAGGGAAUUUCAUGCCAGGGAUUAUAACACAAGUGAUGAAAUACAUGGGAAUCUCCAACCCCAAAAUUAGCAACUACGAGAAGCUGCUACCACUCCUAUUCUUGAUCAUCAAAGGAAAGAGUCAGUGUUACCCAAAGAAAGAAGCCAAAGCCACCCAAAAGAAGCUGAUCCAUGGCAGACCUGUGUAUUCAUUCAAACAGUGAGUUAUGAGGAAGAUGCAACUAUUGCUAGAGAAGCAAAGAGAAAAACCCUACUGGCUCCUUUCCACUUGUCCCCCAGUCUUAAAAUAGAACCUUUAACUGACUGAAAAAAAAAAGUUAAAACCUGGGUCACAUGAGAACGUGGAACACAAUCUGCAAUGAUCAGCACUUAAUACAGGAUGGAGCCAAGAAAGACAAAGGAAUGAAUUUGAGAUCAAAACCAGUCAAGGACUGGCAUAGGUAAGGUCAGUGAGAGGGUCAGAUAGAAGAGCAUAACCUGAGCCACGAAGAAAGAAUAGAAUGUGAAGAGGAGAAAGAAAGAAAAAAAGCCUAUCAUGGCAGCAAACCAUGCGACGCAGGAUAAGCAGAACAGACUAAAUGGUACAAUCAGGAAACAAUGAGAAGAAGACUAAGCAAUUGAAAAAGAGUGUGGCUCGGAGGGUCAGAAAGCCUUGACUGCUAGAAGGAGAAGUUUGAAAUCAAUCCAUAGACCAGCAUUUCCCAAAGACUGCUAUAUAGGAUGCUAGUUCUAGAAGAUGCUAACAGAGUUUACUUAUGUAAAUGGUGUCAUUGUCACAAGAGUUUGGGAAAUGUCAGAGCUUUCAGUCUUUUCUAUUUGAUUUUAUAUUUAUUUAUUUGUUUGUUUGUGAUGCCUCUCAAGGGCCCUUGUUUUGCCACAAGACACUCUGAAAAAAUUGCUAAAGAAUUGGGAAAUCCUGCCACUUAACACACUGAAUGAGGAAUUAGAUGUUCAUAAAGUAACUAAUCCCUAAAGACUGAAGUAAGUAAAAAAUACUAUUAUAGUAAGCUAUAAUUGAUUCAGAUUUCAACUAAUUCAGAGUUUAUGAUCUAUUAGCUGGAACUGUGCCAUCAAUUGAAAAGUGUUUGUUUAAAAGAAUCAAGUGUUAAUGGAUUUUAACAUAAUAGAUUUGAUCUGGAAAAAGAAAGCUGAUGAUUAUAAAUAAGUCUCAUUUAUUCACUGAAGAACAAAUGGCAAAGUCUCUUAUUAAAUAAGGGGUUUUAGUUGCCAAAAUAUUUGUAACAAUAUUUAUUUAAAAUUAUU